CUCCCUCUCUCUGCCCCUCUCCCACUCAUGCUCUGUAUCUCUCUGUCUCAAAAAUAAAUAAAACAUUUUUUAAAAAGUAGAAAUCAAUUUACAAAAGUUGGGGAACCAGGAUUAGAAGUGGGCAGAAAUGAGGGAUGGCAAGCACUAGUCAUGUAAAAACACAUUUGGGGCACUGAAGGUAACAGAAUGAACUCCAAUAUUCCCUUGUCCUGUAGUCACUUGCUUAAGAUUCAAAAUCAUAGGAAAAACAAAAAAAAAAGAGUUGAAUAGACCAAAUGUCUCCAGCCUCACAGCAAAAAGAAUAUGGCUCCUUUGAUUUUAAUACGAAGAAGUGUAUACCUGGAUUGAUCAUCUCACCAAAACUAUAUACAACUUCUGAGAAAGACAUCUAUGUACCUUAGGAAGGGACAAGUAAUGCUGAAUAUACAAAAUAGACAUGUGUUCAUGACAUACAUGAUAAGACCUUUCCUAUACCCUGUCCUUAAAAGACACAGUUACUAUAAAGCCAUGCCUUCUAAAUCUUAAGUGAAAUUAUAUGCUGCAUCACUGCUGAGCCACAUGUGUAAGGAACUGGCCAGGUCUAAAUUUGAUUCAUCUGUCUUUUUUUUUUUUUUUAAUUUAUUUAAUUCACCAUGAUUCACUUAAUUAAGAAACUAGUAUCUGUAUUUUUUCACAAAGGUCUCCUAAGAAACAUCAUGAACUCCUUACAGCUAUAAACAUAUGCUAUUUUUCCAUGACAUUUCUAUGACCUAGAAGUCUAGCAAUCCUAUGGUAAAUAAAGUUAACUUUUAAGAAUUUAA